GCCGUCCGGACCGUGGACCGUUCGUACGGGUGGACGGCCUCCCGGAUACCCUGGCGGAGUGCGCCUGCCAUGAGAAGGGCGCAAAGCCGACAGCCGUCGCACUCCAGGGAGCACUACAUG
rnacentral:sRNA from 1 species